GCGCGAUAGCUCAGUCGGUAGAGCAGUGGUCUCGUGAUCCGGUGACCCUGGUUCGAAACCAAGUCGAUGCG
rfam:Strongylocentrotus purpuratus Contig17777_fixed, whole genome shotgun sequence.